CCCUGAGUGGCUCAGUGGUUGAGCAUCUGUCUUUGGCUCAGGUCAUGAGGUCGUGGGAUCGAGUCUUACAUCAGGCU
rnacentral:tRNA from 1 species